AUCUCUAACUAAAAAAAGAAAAGAACAGACCCACAAGCAGCAACUCUUCUCUUCAUCUUUUCAUCCAGUGGUUGACUUGAAGAGAACGAGUGCAAGCUAAGAUAGUUCAUGUAAUCCGAUGUUUCGACAAAAUUGCGAAUGUUUGAUCGUUUGCAUGACAUAAUAGGACACUUCUUACCAAAAGAUUAUAACUACCGAACGAAACUCAGAGCAAAAUUUACUUACCAUAGUUGCCUAAGAGUUAAAGUUCCUCCUCGUUCACUUCGAAUGGCAAUGGCUAUGAACUAUUCAUCUUGGAGGCUUCUGAUAUUUUUAUCAUACUACAAAUCCAUAGAUUUCCUUAAUUUAUGACCUUCUUACCCUGCCCAACCAGUUGAAGCAAGUAAAGAUACUUACUAAGACCAAGUAACAAUCAAAGCUUAUAAUAUGGACAAAGAUAGUAUGAAGCAGUUGAAUUGCCUAUUUAUCUUUAUUUAUCAAUGGUAACUCAGUCAUGCAGUUACAGUAGUUACUUACUAGCAGAAGAUGUUUCAGAAACCAAGCCAUGAACAAGUAGUGCCUUUGGUCUAUUAUUUUGUAUAGUUUAUCUUCGUGAAUUUAAUUUCAUUUUUAUGGAGUGAGAUUUAUUGUUUUCGAA